GUCAAUGAUUAAGCUCAGGGUUCUGGGACCAAAACCAGUAUUUCAUCUUAUAUCAGAGCCAGAACUUUGUCUCAAAUGAGAGCUAAUCCAAGCUGAGGAUCACAUCAGAGGCCGGCUCUCCUGAGGAUCCUAGUUACCCAUCUGUAAAGCAGGAGCUGAAGGGCUGGACAAGAUCGAGGCCUUGCUUAAGUCUCCAUGGCACCAGAACCUCUUCUCAGAAACCAGGUGACCGCGCUGCAGUUAGGCAGUUAGGCAGUUAGGCAAGGGUAGAUAGAUAAUCCACAUGGCAACAUUCCCUGCUGGCCGAACAACCCAUGAUUAAAGUCCCCUCCCUGCCUGUACCCUCCUUUG